UUGGGAAAUGAAAUGUAGCGUCCUCCCAGGGUCUUACUCCUGAUUAAACAUGAGUCUGCCUUUGGUAGGAAAGUCAGCCUUGAUUUUAUUCCAGAUAAGCAUGACAAAGGCAGUGGUUUGUUUCAGCCUCAAGUUUCUAUGGUUUUACUAACUCUAGCCUUGAGAAGCUUCAGGUAAUGUUGAAGCUUGUCAAAUAUAAAGAUUAUCAGAAUAGGCAGCAAGGUAGAGAGCCGAUGCAAAGAGUUCAUGUAUUGUUAUCUAGAGGAGAAGAUGAUAGUGCACGGGAGACUGACUUUUAACACUUUAAUUCAGAAGUCAGAUAGAGUAACAUAUCAUUUUGGGAGAUUUUCUGUGCAUUAUAGGAUACUUGCCACUAGGGUCAGAGAAGAUUGUUAUGUAACCACAAUAUGUUUUAUAUUUUAUUUUUAACCUUUCCACACUACGUUUCUCUGUAGAAAAGCCUUAUAGAGCUAUAGAUAGAAGGAAUUAAGUUACACAUAGAAAUUUCUUUGCUAGAGUAACUGAAAGGGAAGGAAAAGAGGUCAACCAAUAAGAUGGAGGAAAGAAAAAGAGUUCAACCAAUGAGAGCAGAGGCAAAUAUCCAAGAGGUCUUGAUCAAUGGGAAUUCAUUUUUUUCAACAUAUUUGUAUGUCAGAAACUUAUUAAAAAUUAACAUUUAUAAACAUGUAAAACAAAAACACCUUGUGUGUGUUAAAAAAUAGGGUUGAAAAGAAUAAACAAAAUAAAUGAUACAAUGUAAAAGCAACUCUAAAAAUGCUCAAUAGGUCUACAGAUAGGGCUUCAAAAAUACAAAAAAUAAGUUAUAAUUACAGCUCUAUCAAUAUUUGUCCAACGAGUUGGUACAUUUGAUAAAUAAAAGAUUAAGUUACUCAUGUGUUUGAGGGGAAGGGUAUAAAGUAGAAGUUAGGUGCAAUUGCUUUGGAGAAAGAAUGUCUGGUUUAAAAUCCUGGCUCCAAUCCGUACUGUUAGCCAUGGGACUUUGAGAAACAUCUUUCAGUUAUCCUAGGCUUAGAGGCAUUUUCUUGACCUACCAGGCUUAAUAUGAUCUCAUCCCUGCCACCUUUCUGAUCCAUUUUCACCAAUUUAUCUAAUUCAUGCUGUAUUUUCCUAAAGCAUUUCAAACAAUUUACCUAAAACAUUCCAAACAAUUAAGGUAUUUGCACUUUGCUGUCCUCCUAGCCUGAAAUGCUCUUCCUCCAGACAUGCUCAUAAUGCACUCCUUUCCCUUCCUUCACAUCUGGACCUGCAGAGGCUCCUGAGAGAGACUGAUUCUGGUCACCACAUAACAACAUAGCAUCUCUCUACCCCACCACUUCGAUCCUUUUAUUCUGUUUGACUUGACUUUUUCCUCUUUGGUAUUUAUUUCCAACAUUUUUUCAUAAAUUCCAGAUCCUGCACAAUAUUGCCAGCAUCUUAGUAUAUAUAUUUGUGUAUGUAUAUGUAUAUGUGUUAAUGAGUGUAUAUCAUUUCCUGUUUAUUGCCUGUUGGUCUGGUUAGAAUGUAAUCUCCAUGAAAAUAGGAACUUUAACCAUUUAAUUCAUCAACCAGAAUACUUGACACAUGGUACAUGUUGAAUACACAUUUUUUGCAAAAUUAAAUCAAGUAAUACAAUUCACACAAUCAAGCAUGAAUUAGUGAAUAAAGGUACUGCUACAUCUCAUAAUUUUAUAAGUAGAGUACCUGAAACAUUAAAAAUGUUUAAUAAAUGUUAUUACUAUUGCAUGCAUCGUAUUUCUCUUUUUGCUAAUGUUUAUAAUGAAGUAAACCACAAUUUUAAAUAACUAUUUUAUUCAGUUUUCUGUCCUAGAUAUUGCUACAUGUAUUGGUACAGAAUCAACACUUGGUCUAUGAAAAUAGCUGUACCCCGAUCCUUAUUAAUCAUCCUUUCAGUAAGGUAGAAUAAAAAGAGAGACUAGUUAGCCCUCCACUGUUCUAUAAAUAAAUAGCCCUCUGUAUACAUUCUUUCCUUAUUGUGAGACAUUUUUGAUAAGAUUAAAUACACACAUGAAUAUUACUUGAUUUUUAUGAUCCAGAUAAAAAAUAAAACACUUAUUUUUAUUUAGGGUAAAACAUCUGUUUCUCCUUUUCUUAUUUGUCAAUUUUUUUCUAUACAGGUCAACUUAACCAGAAAGUCAUUAUGGGAUAAAACAAAAUGUUCUUAUUUUUUAAAAUAAAUAGAGUCAUAAGCAAGCAGCUGCUGAACUUUCUAAGAGUCACAACAUUAAAGAUGGCCAAAUCCAUUUUCUUCACAAUAUUAGUGCAUCAUGGGAGUAGAAUGCUGAGAUGGAGGCAAGAAAAUGGACCACAAAGUGAAGAGAUUGGGGACUAAGAUGCCAUGGCUCUUCCUCCUGGAAUGGAUCAUCCACAUGAAUAUGGAGAUAAUACUAAUGUCAUUCAUCAUAAUCUCUUGCAUGAUUUUGAAUAUAUUUGUUAGAAACAAUUUAAUGUAUAUUACCCACUGAAUCAAAAUUUGCAUCUGACUUUUCUAUUAGUCAUACAUUCAAAAACCAAAUUCUGGUGCUUAGGUUUGUGCCUCUGAAAUAUAGUAAAGAUACGCCAAAGCUAAUGUGGUUCCAGUUUUUAUUUAGUGGGUUAAGAAGAGCAAAUUCCAUUUCCAACUAUGUUGCUAUCUAGCAGCAUAACCUUAGCCAAAUCAAAUGAUCUUCCAAGGUUUCAGGUUUUUUGUAGGUAAACACAGUUUAAAAUUAAAGUUUACUUAAAAUCAUUUUUAAACUGAAAGUCUUUCGAUUUAAUUAUUUAAUUUAUUGCUUGUUAAAGUACCAUUCGUUGGCUUUGCUCUCUAAGUUCAUAUAAUUACUUUUACUUAAGAUGUCCUCCACCACUAAACUUUUAUAUGGCUAUAUAUUUGUGUGGUAUCUGUCACCAUGGUACCUAGAUAUCCAACCAACAUAACUGUGUAAAAAUAGAAGGUAUGUGGGAAGAAAAAAAUGUCAAUCCCCAUUUUUCUAUUCAAACAGGUAUUAGUGAGGCAUAAAGAUUGUAUCUAAAGUUUGUUUUUUUGAGCUUACUGCCCAUGUGAUUACAGAGUUAUUUAUGAGAAAAAGGACAAAAUUCACUAUUUAUCCAAAUGUAUGAACAUUCAAUGUAAUAUUUACAUUUGUUAAAUAAAGAAAUAAACCUCCCCCUUGGUAAUCAUUACAAAUAUAUAUCCCAAAUGACAAAUAACUAUAUAAAAAUGUAAAAACUACUACAAAUGCACACAGGCAAUAAUGCAGACGAUUAUAGUAGUAGAAAAGUGACAGCUAAAAUAGACUGCUCAUAAAGUUUACCCUUUCUGUUGUUAUUUUUUCAAUGCCACUAUUUUUAAUCGCUCUGAAGAAGCUAACAAUUUUUUUUAAUGUAUGGAAGGAAUAUAAUUAAGACGGAAAUAAUUGGUAAGGAAUAAGUUUAGAGAUAAUGAGCUGCUACUAAAUACCAAAGUAGUUGGCAGUCUAAUACAAAUCUGGAAAGAUUAGAAUCAUAGAUACACAAUUUGGAGUCACAGGUAUAAAAAUAAUAUUUUUAAAGCUGUGGGACUAGAUAUCACUUGCAA
rnacentral:lncRNA from 10 species